rnacentral:rRNA from 1 species
UGGGGAAUUUUGGACAAUGGGGGCAACCCUGAUCCGGCCAUGCCGCGUGUGUGAAGAAGGCCUUCGGGUUGUAAAGCACUUUCGGACGGAACGAAAUCGCGCGGGUGAAUAUCCCGCGUGGAUGACGGUACUGUAAGAAGAAGCACCGGCUAACUACGUGCCAGCAGCCGCGGUAAUACGUAGGGUGCGAGCGUUAAUCGGAAUUACUGGGCGUAAAGCGUGCGCAGGCGGCUUCGCAAGUCAGACGUGAAAUCCCCGGGCUUAACCUGGGAAUGGCGUUUGAAACUACGGAGCUGGAGUGUGGCAGAGGGGGGUAGUAUUCCACGUGUAGCGGUGAAAUGCGUAGAUAUGUGGAGGAAUACCGAUGGCGAAGGCAGCCCCCUGGGCCAACACUGACGCUCAUGCACGAAAGCGUGGGGAGCAAACAGG